UACGUAGGGUGCGAGCGUUAAUCGGAAUUACUGGGCGUAAAGCGCGCGUAGGCGGCUUUGCAAGUCGGGUGUGAAAUCCCCAGGCUUAACCUGGGAACUGCGUCUGAUACUGGAUGGCUUGAAUUCGGGAGAGGGAUGCAGAAUUCCAGGUGUAGCGGUGAAAUGCGUAGAUAUCUGGAGGAAUACCGGUGGCGAAGGCGGCAUCCUGGACCGAGAUUGACACUGAGGAGCGAAAGCUAGGGGAGCAAACGGG
rnacentral:rRNA from 1 species